rnacentral:misc_RNA from 1 species
AACCUAGCACACCUGCGGUGUGUACCUGCGGAAGGAUCAUUAACGAGUUACCACUCUAUAACCCUUUGUGAACAUACCUACAUGUUGCUUUGGCGGUCGGCCCCCCCGGGCCCCCGGCCCCGCUCACGCGGGGCGUCCGCCGGAGGAUAACCAAACUCUGAUUUAACGACGUUUCUUCUGAGUGGCACAAGCAAAUAAUCAAAACUUUCAACAACGGAUCU